AGCGAACGCUGGCGGCAGGCCUAACACAUGCAAGUCGAACGAACCCUUCGGGGUUAGUGGCGGACGGGUGAGUAACACGUGGGAACGUGCCUUUAGGUUCGGAAUAACUCAGGGAAACUUGUGCUAAUACCGAAUGUGCCCUUCGGGGGAAAGAUUGAUCGCCUUUAGAGCGGCCCGCGUCUGAUUAGCUAGUUGGUGAGGUAAUGGCUCACCAAGGCUACGAUCAGUAGCUGGUCUGAGAGGAUGACCAGCCACAUUGGGACUGAGACACGGCCCAAACUCCUACGGGAGGCAGCAGUGGGGAAUCUUGCGCAAUGGGCGAAAGCCUGACGCAGCCAUGUCGCGUGGAUGAUGAAGGUCUUAGGAUUGUAAAAUCCUUUCACCGGUGAAGAUAAUGACUGUAGCCGGAGAAGAAGCCCCGGCUAACUUCGUGCCAGCAGCCGCGGUAAUAC
rnacentral:rRNA from 1 species